UUCCGGUUGAUCCCGCCGGACCCUACUGCUAUCGGGGUGGGACUAAGACAUGCAAGUCGCGCGUCUCUAGGCCAUGGUAGAGACGCGGCAUACGGCUCAGUAACACGUGGCUAACCUACCCUUAGGACGGAGACAACCCCGGGAAACUGGGGACUAUCCCCGAUAGGUGAGGAGGCCUGGAAUGGUUCCUCGCCGAAAAGGCGUUGAAACCACGCCUUUCAGCGUCGCCUAAGGAUGGGGCCGCGGCCGAUCAGGUUGUUGGUGAGGCAACGGCUCACCAAGCCUAUAACCGGUACGGGCCGUGAGAGCGGGAGCCCGGAGAUGGGCACUGAGAUAAGGGCCCAGGCCCUACGGGGCGCAGCAGUCGCGAAAACUCCGCAAUGCGCGAAAGCGUGACGGGGCUACCCCGAGUGCCGUCCGCUGAGGAUGGCUUUUCCCCGGUGUAAUGAGCCGGGGGAAUAAGGAGAGGGCAAGUCUGGUGUCAGCCGCCGCGGUAAUACCAGCUCUCCGAGUGGUAGGGAUGAUUAUUGGGCUUAAAGCGUCCGUAGCCGGUCCGGCAAGUCUUCCGUUAAAUCCAGCGACCCAAUCGUUGGACUGCGGGAGAUACUGUUGGGCUAGGGGGCGGGAGAGGCCGACGGUAUUCUCGGGGUAGGGGUGAAAUCCUAUAAUCCCGGGAGGACCACCAGUGGCGUAGGCUGUCGGCUAGAACGCGCUCGACGGUGAGGGACGAAAGCUGGGGGAGCGAACCGGAUUAGAUACCCGGGUAGUCCCAGCUGUAAACGAUGCGGGCUAGGUGUUGGGGUGGCUACGGGCCACUUCAGUGCCGCAGGGAAGCCAUUAAGCCCGCCGCCUGGGGAGUACGGCCGCAAGGCUGAAACUUAAAGGAAUUGGCGGGGGAGCACCACAAGGCGUGAAGCUUGCGGUUCAAUUGGAGUCAACGCCGGG
rnacentral:rRNA from 1 species